CUGAACCAGCCAAGUAGCGUGAAGGAUGACUGCCCUAUGGGUUGUAAACUUCUUUCAUAUGGGAAUAAAGUGGUCCACGUGUGGAUUUUUGUAUGUACCAUAUGAAUAAGGAUCGGCUAACUCCGUGCCAGCAGCCGCGGUAAUACGGAGGAUCCGAGCGUUAUCCGGAUUUAUUGGGUUUAAAGGGAGCGUAGGCGGAUUGUUAAGUCAGUUGUGAAAGUUUGCGG
rnacentral:rRNA from 1 species